rnacentral:rRNA from 1 species
AACGAACGCUGGCGGCAGGCCUAAACAUGCAAGUCGAGCGGGCAUAGCAAUAUGUCAGCGGCGGACGGGUGAAUAACACGUGGGAACAUGCCCUUUGGUACGGAACAACUCAGGGAAACUUGAGCUAAUACCGUAUGUGCCGGUAACGGAAGAUUUAUCGCCAAAGGAUUGGCCCGCGUCCGAUUAGCUAGUUGGUGAGGUAAUGGCUCACCAAGGCUCCGAUCGGUAGCGGUUUGAGAGAACGAUCAGCCACACUGGGACUGAGACACGGCCCA